CUGACCUCAGAUCAGGCAAGACUACCCGCUGAACUUAAGCAUAUCAAUAAGCGGAGGAAAAGAAACCAACAGGUAUUCCCUCAGUAACGGCGAGUGAAGUGGGAAGAGCUCAAGCCGUCAAUCUCCGACCGUCGGUCGGCGAAUUGUAGUCUGGAGAAGCGCUAUCCGUGCGACGCUCGGCGGUGUAAGUUGCUUGGAACGGCAUAUCGCAGAGGGUGAGAAUCCCGUCUUGGACCGUGGAGCGCGCACCACGAGGCGCUUUCGAAGAGUCGGGUUGUUUGGGAAUGCAGCCCAAAGCGGGUGGUAAACUCCACCUAAGGCUAAAUAGGGGCACGAGACCGAUAGCGA
rnacentral:rRNA from 1 species